CCAUCGGUGGCUCAGACGGUAAAGCGUCUGCCUGCAAUGCGGGAGACCUGGGUUCAAUUCCUGGGUUGGG
rnacentral:tRNA from 1 species